ACAUGAAGCCGGAAUCGCUAGUAAUCGCAGAUCAGCAUGCUGCGGUGAAUACGUUCCCGGGUCUUGUACACACCGCCCGUCACACCAUGGGAGCCGGGAAUGCCCGAAGUCGGUGACCCAACCGUAAGGAGGGAGCCGCCGAAGGCAGGCCUGGUAACUGGGGUGAAGUCGUAACAAGGUACC
rnacentral:rRNA from 1 species